AGUGAACGCUGGCGGUAGGCUUAACACAUGCAAGUCGAACGGCAGCACAGUAAGAGCUUGCUCUUACGGGUGGCGAGUGGCGGCCGGGUGAGGAAUACAUCGGAACCUACUUUUUCGUGGGGGAUAACGUAGGGAAACUUACGCUAAUACCGCAUACGACCUACGGGUGAAGGCAGGGGAUCUUCGGACCUUGCGCGAUUGAUGGAGCGGAUGCCGGAUUAGCUAGUUGGGGGGGUAAGGGCCAACCAAGGCGGCGAUCCGUAGCGGGCAUGAGAGGUUGGUCAGCCACACUGGAACGGAGACACGGUCCAGACGCCUACGGGAGGCAGCAGUGGGGAAUAUUGGACAAUGGGCGCAAGCCUGAUCCAGCCAUACCGCGGGGGUGAAGAAGGCCUUCGGGUUGUAAAGCCCUUUUGUUGGGAAAGAAAAGCAGCAGGUUAAUACCCCGCUGUUCUGACGGUACCCAAAGAAUAAGCACCGGCUAACUUCGUG
rnacentral:rRNA from 1 species